CGUUAACGAACGAGACCCCCGCCUGCUAAAUAGUGUGGCUUACGCUUCUGUGUAGGUGCUCGCUUCUUAGAGGGACUUUCGGUGACUAACCGAAGGAAGUUGGGGGC
rnacentral:rRNA from 5 species